CCCUUAGAUGUCCGGGGCCGCACGCGCGCUACAAUGGAUGAAUCAACGCGUCAUCCUGGCCCGAAAGGGUUGGGGAGCCGCUGAACCUCAUCCGUGGUUGGGAUUGGGGUUUGUAAUUAUUCCCCAUGAACUAGGAAUUCCCAGUAAGCGCGAGUCAUAAGCUCGCGUUGAUUACGUCCCUGCCCUUUGUACACACCGCCCGUCGCUACUACCGAUUGGAUGGUUUAGUGAGAUCCUCGGAUUGGUCACGGCACGGUGGCAACACUGCGUCGGUGUGCCGAGAAGACGAUCAAACUUGAUCAUCUAGAGGAAGUAAAAGUCGUAACA
rnacentral:rRNA from 1 species